CACCCACCAGCUCCACCACUGUUAAGUGUUCUGAGAGAACAUCGUGCUUGGAGGACGCCAUAUAAGUGCAAGUUGUCGUUGUAUGUGCUGCUAUGAUGUCUGAUGAAGCUCACUGUCAACCUCACGUAUGAAGAACAAGAGUCAAUGCAUGGAGCAGAGGAGGCGAUGGGAGAAAAUUGUCAAGACAGAAAAGAACUUGACCAUUGGCGCUCAUGAAGUUGAUGGAUCUCAACGCUGCAAAUGGAAUUUUCCAAUUUCUUUGGUGGAUUGCUACACAUUUACUCAGGUUCCACUGCUCUUUCUUCAUUCGAUGAUCCAGGCUGGCUGGUCUGGAAGUUGGUAGAUGUCUACCUCUUUGUCCCUGCCUCCGGUCACCCUCUUCACCCCUUCUGAAUACAACCCCCAGCUCAGGUGCAAAUACUUGAUUGUCCAGCACCUUCGGACAUC